UGGACGAUCAAGUUUUGUUGAAGCUGCAACCAUAUCAAUUUUGAUCUUUGGCUAUGAGACCUAAUGAAAAACUUAGUCUUUGUUUCUAUGGUCCUUUAGAAAUUGAGGAGAAGAUUGGAUCUAUUGCUUAUAGGUUAAAACUCCCCGCCACAACAAGAAUCUACCCUGUUUUUCACGUAUCACAACUGAAGAAGUGUGUGAGACCCCUGGUCCUGAGUCUACCCCUUUCGAGUUGCUUAAAUGAGGAGGCUGAGUUGGUAGCCAAACUUGAAGAUGUGUUGAAUUUUAGAUACUCGCCACAAAGGGAUUUAGAGUUGCUUAUUAAAUGGCAUGGCUUACUGGAUUAUGAGAACUCGUGGGAAUUGUACAAGAACCUCAUUCAGACUUUUCCCCAUUUACACCUUGAGGACAAGGUGCCUCUGGAUGGGAGGGGUAAUGUUAGAGCUCGUGUUUAUGUAAAGAAGAUAGUCAAGAGAAACGUUAAUGCAAUUAAGGUAAGAAGAUGAUAACCAAUGAUGUCAACAUAGGUGGAGUUGAGAAGUUGAUAUAUGACACCAAUAAUGUUAAUACAGGUGGACAUGUUGAGAAAUCAAUAGAUGACAACAUUGCAGAGACAACAGAAGUUGCAAACCAUCGGCAAAAAAUUAGGAGUAUGCAGAAAAAAGAGGGAACCAUAGAUGCAUUGUAUGCUGAGUUGGCGUAUCAAGAUUGGAAGGGCAAUAGUGAGGAGCAAAGGGAGAAAAAAAGGCCUGGAGAGCAUAGAGGAGGAGAGAAAAUCAUUUGAAGAAGAAAGGGUCUGAGGAGAGAAUCAACCUCUUGAAAGCUAGAAGAUGCGUCUGAGUUUUGUGUUAUGGAUUUAAUUCAUCUUUUGUUAUUGUUUUGUUUUGUUUUUGUGUCAUGAACAUCUCCGUAAGGGAUUUCAGUUAGUAGUUAUAUUCCAAGUUACAUGUUCUUUGUUAUGAAUAUUAGAGAAACAACGUUUAAAUGCAAAUUGUUUGUUUUUGCUUUUAUAAUAUAAUUUAUACAAAGAGUUUGUUGUUUCAUUGUCGGUUCAAUAUACAUUAAUAAACUGCUAGCAACACAAAUAUUUGUGAUUUACCAACUCUUUUGGUUUUUGGUUGACGAGGCCAGGUAACUUGGCUGAACCAGCUCCUGCAUCCUCCAGGUACCUAACAUAUACCAAUUUCGUAUUAACCAUGGGUAAGCUCUACUUAUUGUAGUCAUAUUCUCUGGACUGUAACAUGUAUGAGCGAAACUGAUACCUAUUGAAAUCCAUCUUAGCAGCGACACUAUGUAUUGAAAUGCUUUGAGAUACAUGAGGAUACAAGUCAAGUAUGAAACACUUGAGUGUGCAUAAUGGAUGGAUUUGUAUGGUACUUGUAACAAUUUUUUACUUCUGAUUAUAAGGAGAAAUUAUCCUAAUAGGAAACUUAUAGUUUUUCUUUUUUUUCAUUUUUUAUGAUUGUGAAUUAUGUGGAGAUUUUAAGAUAACUUUAAUUAGUAUAUAAUCAAUGUCAAUGCUCAUAUUUUGAGAAUCAAA